rnacentral:rRNA from 1 species
UACGAAGGGGGCUAGCGUUGUUCGGAUUUACUGGGCGUAAAGUGCACGUAGGCGGAUCGUUAAGUCGGGGGUGAAAUCCUGGAGCUCAACUCCAGAACUGCCUUCGAUACUGGCGAUCUUGAGUCCGGAAGAGGUGAGUGGAACUCCUAGUGUAGAGGUGGAAUUCGUAGAUAUUAGGAAGAACACCAGUGGCGAAGGCGGCUCACUGGUCCGGUACUGACGCUGAGGUGCGAAAGCGUGGGGAGCAAACAGG